rnacentral:rRNA from 1 species
GUGAGGAAUAUUGCGCAAUGGAGGCAACUCUGACGCAGCCAUGCCGCGUGCAGGAAGAAGGCGCUACGCGUUGUAAACUGCUUUUAACCGGGAAGAAACCCCAGGACGUGUCCUGGGUUGACGGUACCGGAGGAAUAAGCACCGGCUAACUUCGUGCCAGCAGCCGCGGUAAUACGAAGGGUGCAAGCGUUAUCCGGAUUCAUUGGGUGUAAAGGGUGCGUAGGCGGAGCGUUAAGUCAGUGGUGAAAUCCUGCAGCUUAACUGUAGACUUGCCAUUGAUGCUGGCGCUCUUGAGUGCGCUUGAAGUGGGCGGAAUGUGCCGUGUAGCGGUGAAAUGCUUAGAUAUGGCACAGAACACCAAUUGCGAAGGCAGCUCACUAAGGCGAUACUGACGCUGAGGCACGAAAGCGUGGGGAUCGAACAGGAUUAGAAACCCGGGUAGUCC